CCUACCCUUGGGUGUGCGGCGUACACGAUAAUUUCCAAGGCUAUCCAUGAAGACUGCAGCGUAGUCUAAAAAGUACUCGAGAUCUUGGGGUCCAGCAUUGGACUAUUUCAAGAGCAAUUUCCAAUCCCCAUUACAAACUUUCGAGAGCUUGAUAAUCAGAUCGAAUAUGCCCUCAGGCUCGGGGAGACUUGACGAAGCAAUAUCCUUGCACCGCAAUAUGAAACGCUGUACGCAUAGAGCUUUCCCCCAAAAAAUCGUGACUCAAAUGCCUCGUUGCAUUCUGGCAGAUAAAUAGAAGGCCUUUUCUGAGCCAGGAGACGAUCUGAAGCCAUUGUAUCAUUCUCCUUUCGCUCGCGAUAGACUUGAGUGCACAGAAUCCCAAUGGGACGGAGGAUUGUCCGUUGAAUAUCCAGGUCCGGUCGGCGAAGGGCCCGCCAAACACGUGCAACUAUUGCGGAUCCAUUGCGGGAAGCUCAGCCUCGUUUCUUGAUAUUUUCAAAUGAGUGCAAGUCACGAAAUCAUUUUUUAUAGACUUCUGUCAAGUCCUGCUAACUUCUGAAUGAA
rnacentral:sRNA from 1 species